CAUGCAAGUCGAACGAUGAACCACUUCGGUGGGGAUUAGUGGCGAACGGGUGAGUAACACGUGGGCAAUCUGCCCUGCACUCUGGGACAAGCCCUGGAAACGGGGUCUAAUACCGGAUAUGAGCCUCCAUCGCAUGGUGGGGGCUGUAAAGCUCCGGCGGUGCAGGAUGAGCCCGCGGCCUAUCAGCUUGUUGGUGGGGUAAAGGCUCACCAAGGCAAUGAUCGGUAGCCGGCCCGAGAGGGCACACGGCCACACUGGCACUGAAACACGGGCCAGACUCCUACGGGAGGCAGCAGUGGGGAAUCUUGCACAAUGGGGGAAACCCUGAUGCAGCGACGCCGCGUGAGCGAUGAAGCCCUUCGGGGUGUAAAGCUCUUUCGGCAGGGACGAUAAUGACGGUACCUGAAGAAGAAGCUGCGGCUAACUACGUGCCAGCAGCCGCGGUAAUACGUAGGCAGCGAGCGUUGUUCGGAGUUACUGGGCGUAAAGAGUGCGUAGGCGGUUUUCUAAGUUUGGUGUGAAAUCUCCCGGCUUAACUGGGAGGGUGCGCCGAAAACUGGAAGGCUUGAGUAUGGGAGAGGUAAGCGGAAUUCCUGGUGUAGCGGUGAAAUGCGUAGAUAUCANGAGGAACACCUGCGGUGUAGACGGCUUACUGGACCAUAACUGACGCUGA
rnacentral:rRNA from 1 species